UUCUCGUUCUUUCUUCUUCUUCACCCUCUCUUUCUAUGUUCUCCACCAUUUGUGUUUCUAUGAGAGGCUUUGACGAUUCUGAGAUCGGAAACUUAGGGAAAACAUCAAGGAAUGAUUCAUGGUGUUGAUGUUGAGGUUGGUUUAGCUUUGAAUGAAGAAGAAACGAUAGAUUGAUGAGAAACAGAAAGUUAAGGUUUUCAUUUGGGUUUAAGAUAUGGAGGAAUUGAUUAAUUAAAGGGGGAUUUGAUUAGUUGGUGAUGCAGAACGAAAGGGGUUGGUGUUUAAUCGAAGUUCUGAAGUUGAUUCGAUGAUAAAUCGAUGAGCUAGGGUUUUUCAAGAUGAACUGGAAUUUCGAUUGGAGAUGAAUAACAAGAAUUAAGGUGUGGAUUUGUUGAUUGAUGAACAUGGUGAAGUUAUUUGGUUGUUUAUGGAGCUGUUCAUGAAUAAUUGAAGAGUUAGGGUUUCAAGAGAAGAAUUCAUAGGAAGAAUUAGAAGAUUAAUUGGAGAUGGGUCUUGUAAAUUGAGAACAAAGAAGAUCAUUUAGUGUUCAGUUUCCGAUUCACACUGAAGAAAAGGUGAACCAGGGUUUCAUGUUCUUCCCCAAUUUAAGAACUAGAGUUUUGAGAAUUGAUCUGGCAGGGAGGAGGUGGUGCUGUGUAGAGUUGUUCGAAUCAUAGGAAAUAAGGGAUUGAUUUCAAUUUGGUUAAGACAAGCUGUUUUGAGGUAACUUGUUCUUGUUAGUUAACUUAGUGAUGUUUAUUGAUUUUCAUUAACUGAGUUCAUGGGUUUGUUAUUAAACUAAGAGUUGGGAUGGAGGUGUAUGUGUUGAAUGAACCUGAGGAUUUGAGAAUGUUUGGUGGUGUUGCUUUGACUGUGUUUGUGUAUCAAGUAAUGUGAUUGAGAUACAAAGUGGAUUGGAACUGUAAUUUGGAUUGAAUUACAGGGAGAAGAGAGGUAUAUGGUUUUGUUGUUGUGUUGAGGUGCAGGAAAUGACUGAAGUUCAGUGGAUUGAAUGUCUGGUUUAACUGCAAAUAAGUGUAUGUGAAAGAUAUGGCAGAAUGCAGCCGUGUGUUGGGUUAUUUGUGAGAUGAUGGAAUGAGAUUGAGUCUCAUCUGAAGUUAAAUGUACUGAAUGAGAUAUGCAGGUGAAGCUGUCAGUCCAAAUGGAGUUGUGAAUGAAGCUAAACUCAGUUGGAUGAAUGGAAGAAGUUGUGGUUGAGUUAUGGAGUUGGACCCUAUGUAGAAGUUUGUAACUGCAAUUUCAGGUAAGAUGAAUUGUGAUUAAGAAUGCUCUUGUGAAGUUUACUUGGAUCUGGUGUAUUGUUGUAAUGCUGGUGGUGAUGGAUAUGUGGUGUAUGAGCUGUUAUAGGUGACGUUUGGGUGUAGGAGGGAUUAGUGAAUGCUAAAUUGAUAUUGUAGAAAGAGUUUUGCUGUAAAAGCUUGGAACUACAAUUGCAGUUAGUCUGUAUUAACAACGAUCGAUUCAAAGGAUGAACCAGUGGAUCUCGAGGUAGGCGUGGCUUGUCAUCAAAAGAGACGCGUGAUGGAGCUAGGAAGAUUCAUAACAGACCGUGGAAGAUAAGCAUAUUCAUUACGGGAUUAUUCGCAUUGACUCGGGAGGAUUCUCGAUGCUGUGAAGGUAUAUAUAGUGUGAUGGGGACUCGGCCAGGGGGGUGGAGAGUUAGGAGAGGAUACAGAGCGAGAAAAUAGAGUUGCAGAGCAAUUCUACUGCUGCUGCAUGAAGAUGAACAUGAAGAACAUAUUACUGUGAAAGACAGUCAUUUUCAGCGUCUUAUAUUUUGUAGGUUGUACCAGUCCAUUAACAACGGUUAGCUUCAGUUCACAACAACUGCUUUGUAACGACGAGUUUCUAACGUCACUACAUCGUUGAAAACUCGCUACUUUUGUUAUUUCUCUUCAUUUUCACUAUUGUAAACACUUUUCGAGCCGUAAAAUAAUCUUUUGAGAGUGUCUACAACAUGAGGUGCUAAAUCCAUCACUGGGGCGACGGA